GGGCACUUGGUCUAGGGGUAUGAUUUUCGCUUCGCAAUAACGAGCAACUCGUUAAUACGUCUGUGAAAGGUCAUGGGUUCAAUUCCCAUAGUGUCCA
rnacentral:tRNA from 1 species